rnacentral:rRNA from 1 species
CGGGUGAGUAACGCGUGGGUAACCUACCCUGUACACACGGAUAACAUACCGAAAGGUAUGCUAAUACAGGAUAAUAUAUUUGAGAGGCAUCUCUUGAAUAUCAAAGGUGAGCCAGUACAGGAUGGACCCGCGUCUGAUUAGCUAGUUGGUAAGGUAACGGCUUACCAAGGCGACGAUCAGUAGCCGACCUGAGAGGGUGAUCGGCCACAUUGGAACUGAGACACGGUCCAA